UGCCAGCAGCCGCGGUAAUACGAAGGGAGCUAGCGUUACUCGGAAUUAUUGGGCGUAAAGCGUGCGCAGGCGGCCUGUUAAGUUGGAAGUGAAAGCCUUAGGCUUAACUUGAGAAUUGCUUUCAAAACUAACAGACUUGAGUAUCAGAGGGGAUAGUGGAAUUCCUAGUGUAGAGGUGAAAUUCGUAGAUAUUAGGAAGAACACCGGAAGCGAAAGCGGCUAUCUGGCUGAAUACUGACGCUGUUGCACGAAAGCGUGGGGAGCAAACAGGAUUAGAUA
rnacentral:rRNA from 1 species